GUAUAGGAGGUCCCGCCUGCCCAAUGACUAAAUUAAAUGGCCGCGGUAUUUUAACCGUGCAAAGGUAGCGCAAUCACUUGUCUCUUAAAUAAAGACCCGUAUGAAUGGUGAAACGAGGGCUUAACUGUCUCCCCUCUCAAGUCAAUGAAAUUGAUCUCCCCGUGCAGAAGCGGACAUAAUAAUACAAGACGAGAAGACCCUUUGGAGCUUAAGAUACAAAAUUAGCUAUGUCAAGAUCUUCGGUUGGGGCGACCACGGAAAACAACAAAACUCCCACGAGGACUGAGAAAAAACUAAGAGAGCCAUCUCUAAGUCGCAGAACUUCUGACCCGCCGAUUAACGAAUCAAGUUACCCUAGGGAUAACAGCGCAAUCCCCUUCCAUAGACCCUAUUGACAAGGGGGUUUACGACCUCGAUGUUGGAUCAGGACAUCCUAAUGGUGCAGCC
rnacentral:rRNA from 1 species